UUAUCCAUUCUAUUAUGAUACAAACAAACGCUUAAGCCGCACAUGCGCGAGCACAUAAGCAAUGUUUGUCCGCUAGAAUGUGACCUAAACAUUUGUUCACUAAAAUUAAUCAACCAACACUCAUUUGCUGCCAAAAACUACGUAGCUUUGAUUUAUCCAUCGCACCUAGAGAUACGUAAGAGCAAGAUUCAAUGUCUCAUCAAACACUAUAACAAAAAACCAAA
rnacentral:lncRNA from 1 species